rnacentral:misc_RNA from 1 species
GCAAGUUUUGUUGCAACUUGUUCUUAUGACAAUGGAAAAUGGUAAAUUUGAGGACUUAGUUUGGUUUUUCUGAAACAAUAGGAGAGGGUCAUGUUUUACCUUUCCUCACCCAUGGACUAAAUGACUUAGGAGAGAGAAAGAAUUAAGGGAGAAUUAGACACAUAGAAUCUGUUUGGAUAAAUGUGUGAGAUAAGUAAAUAAAG